GAUGAACGCUGGCGGCGUGCCUAAUACAUGCAAGUCGAGCGAACGGACGAGAAGCUUGCUUCUCUGAUGUUAGCGGCGGACGGGUGAGUAACACGUGGAUAACCUACCUAUAAGACUGGGAUAACUUCGGGAAACCGGAGCUAAUACCGGAUAAUAUUUUGAACCGCAUGGUUCAAAAGUGAAAGACGGUCUUGCUGUCACUUAUAGAUGGAUCCGCGCUGCAUUAGCUAGUUGGUAAGGUAACGGCUUACCAAGGCAACGAUGCAUAGCCGACCUGAGAGGGUGAUCGGCCACACUGGAACUGAGACACGGUCCAGACUCCUACGGGAGGCAGCAGUAGGGAAUCUUCCGCAAUGGGCGAAAGCCUGACGGAGCAACGCCGCGUGAGUGAUGAAGGUCUUCGGAUCGUAAAACUCGGGUAUUAGGGAAGAACAUAUGUGUAAGUAACUGUGCACAUCUUGACGGUACCUAAUCAGAAAGCCACGGCUAACUACGGG
rnacentral:rRNA from 1 species